GGGCAGGUAGCUCAGUCGGUACGAGCGUCCGCCUGAAAAGUGGAAGGUCGGCGGUUCGACCCCGCCCCUGCCCACGA
rnacentral:tRNA from 1 species